rnacentral:rRNA from 1 species
UACAGAGGUCCCGAGCGUUGUUCGGAUUCAUUGGGCGUAAAGCGUGCGUAGGUGGUUUGUUAAGUCUGAUGUGAAAGCCCUGGGCUCAACCUGGGAACGGCAUUGGAAACUGGCUUACUAGAGUGCGGUAGAGGGGUGUGGAAUUCCCGGUGUAGCAGUGAAAUGCGUAGAUAUCGGGAGGAACAUCUGUGGCGAAGGCGACACCCUGGACCAGCACUGACACUGAGGCACGAAAGCGUGGGGAGCAAACAGG